AUGCGAGGAUUUCUGCACAAAGAUAUCUGUGAUGCACUUCUGCAGCUUGGUAGUUUUUUCCGCCAAUUAUGCUCCAAGACAUUGAAGCUGGAUAUCUUGGAUAAGUUGGAACAACAAAUAGUAAUUGUAUUGUGCAAACUAGAAAUGAUUCUCCCACCUGCAUUCUUUGAUAUUAGCGUGCACUUAGCAGUGCAUCUACCACAGCAAGCAAGGCUUGGAGGUCCUGUACAAUACAGAUGGAUGUUCUUCAUUGAAAGGUUCCUUGGUACUUUGAAAGGCAUGGUGAGCAAUAGGGCACACCCAGAGGGUUCAAUUGCUGAAGCUUAUGUUAUGAAGGGGUGCUCAACAUUCUGGUCCAUGUAUCUACAUGGAAUUGAGACAAGGUUCAAUAGACAAGAGCGGAAUUUUGAUGGGGAGAGACAACCACUUGAUCGUUUCUCGGUAUUCUCAACUAGUUUCCGUGCUUUUGGCCAUAGGGAUGACCUUAUGUUAACACAAGAUCAGUAUGAUUCUCUGUCUUGGUAUGUGCUAAAUAAUUGUGAGGAACUACAAGAAUACCUAUAUGAGCAUGAGGAUGCCCUACUGGCUGAAGGUGCGGAUAAUAUUGAAAAUAGGCAACGUGAACAGUUUGGUUCAUGGCUGUGCCAAAGAGUAAGUCCAUGCUAUUACUUGAGUUAA
rnacentral:rRNA from 1 species